AUCUUCAUUGUUGUCGAGUUUAGGUGGCGCAUUGACUCAACAGCCUCAGUUGCCGGUGGACGUUUAUUAUAUUAACUUACCAUAAGUAUUAUGACCGUUAUAUACAUACUGUGCCUAACACUCUAAAGUGUAAAUUCUAAUAUUCAAUUCACUGCGAGCGUUGUCACAUGACACACUUAUAAUAGUAUAUUGUGAUUUGCAAUCAGACAAUAUGCAUUAUAAUAAUUUAAUUACCAAUUCAUUCGUUGUUUGUUCUAUUCUCCUAUUCUCCGUACCACAAUCGUUCAACCAAAAUGUGGGACCAACUGUAAAAAUGACCAACGGACAAGUGUGGCCGAAACCUAUGCUGCAACACAUCUACGACGAAUACUUGACAUUUGAACCAGAACAUUUUCAUUUCAAUAUUACAGGUUAUAGUUGUGAGGACCUAUGUAAGAUGCAUUUAAACGGUAUAAUUCUAUGCUGUUUUUAAAAGCUACGAAAACAUUUACACGAUACACUAGUUUAUCUACGGACUUAAUCAUUGGCAAGAUGGAAGUGCUCAAUGUGCAGAUGACAAAUCCCUGUGAAAAUUAUCCUUCGUUGAAUAUGGACGAAAAAUACGAAAUCAAAAUAAACAAUUCCAGUGGACUUUUACUUGCAUCGUCUAUUUGGGGCAUUUUCAGAGGUCUAGAAACAUUUUCUCAGUUGAUUUAUUUGGAAACGGACGGUUCGACAGUAUUAUUUUAAACAUU